rnacentral:rRNA from 1 species
UGGCGAACGGGUGAGUAAUACGUGAGUGACCUACCUUUGACUCUGGGAUAAGCCUGGGAAACCGGGUCUAAUACCGGAUACGACCAAUCUCUGCAUGGGGUGUUGGUGGAAAGCGUUAUGGAGUGGUUUUAGAUGGGCUCACGGCCUAUCAGCUUGUUGGUGAGGUAAUGGCUUACCAAGGCGACGACGGGUAGCCGGCCUGAGAGGGUGACCGGCCACACUGGGACUGAGACACGGCCCAG